rnacentral:rRNA from 1 species
GUGCUUAACACAUGCAAGUCGAACGAGGUCCAAGGGUUAGCAAUAACCUGGAAUACCUAGUGGCGAACGGGUGAGUAACACGUGAGGAACCUAUCCCGGACUCUGGAAUAACAGACGGAAACGUCUGCUAAUACUGGAUGCCGUCGGAGCACCACAUGAUGCACUGACGAAAGAUUUCUCGGUUCGGGAGGGCCUCGCGGCCUAUCAGCUAGUUGGUGGGGUAACGGCCUACCAAGGCAUCGACGGGUAGCUGUUCUGAGAGGAUGAUCAGCCACACUGGGACUGAGACACGGCCCAG